rnacentral:rRNA from 1 species
AUUGAACGCUGGCGGAAUGCUUUACACAUGCAAGUCGAACGGCAGCACGGACUUCGGUCUGGUGGCGAGUGGCGAACGGGUUAGUAAUACAUCGGAACGUGCCCAGGCGUGGGGGAUAACGUAGCGAAAGCUACGCUAAUACCGCAUACGAUCUACGGAUGAAAGCGGGGGAUCGCAAGACCUCGCUCGAUUGGAGCGGCCGAUGGCAGAUCAGGUAGUGGGUGGGGUAAAGGCUCACCAAGCCGACGAUCUGUAGCUGGGCUGAGAUGCCGACCAGCCACACUGGGACUGAGACACGGCCCAGACUCCUACGGGAGGCAGCAGUGGGGAAUUUUGGACAAUGGGCGCAAGCCUGAUCCAGCCAUUCCGCGUGCAGGAUGAAGGCCCUCGGGUUGUAAACUGCUUUUGUACGGAACGAAAAGGCUCUGGUUAAUACCCGGGGCUCAUGACGGUACCGUAAGAAUAAGCACCGGCUAACUACGUGCCAGCAGCCGCGGUAA